UACGGAGGGUGCAAGCGUUGUCCGGAUUUAUUGGGUUUAAAGGGUGCGUAGGCGGUUCUUUAAGUCUGGGGUGAAAGCCCGUUGCUCAACAACGGAACUGCCCUGGAAACUGGAGGACUUGAGUACAGACGAGGGUGGCGGAAUGGAUGCUGUAGCGGUGAAAUGCGCAGAUAUCAGGAGGAACACCGGUGGCGAAGGCGGAUCUCUGGGCCUUACCUGACGCUGAGGCGCGAAAGCUGGGGGAGCGAACAGG
rnacentral:rRNA from 1 species